rnacentral:rRNA from 1 species
UAUGGGGGUCCGACUAAGCCAUGCGAGUCAUGGGGCGCGCUCUGCGCGCACCGGCGGACGGCUCAGUAACACGUCGGUAACCUACCCUCGGGAGGGGGAUAACCCCGGGAAACUGGGGCUAAUCCCCCAUAGGCCUGAGGUACUGGAAGGUCCUCAGGCCGAAAGGGUCUUUGACCGCCCGAGGAUGGGCCGGCGGCCGAUUAGGUAGUUGGUGGGGUGACGGCCCACCAAGCCGAAGAUCGGUACGGGCCAUGAGAGUGGGAGCCCGGAGAUGGACACUGAGACACGGGUCCAGGCCCUACGGGGCGCAGCAGGCGCGAAACCUCCGCAAUGCGGGCAACCGCGACGGGGGGACCCCCAGUGCCGUGGCAUCGCCACGGCUUUUCCGGAGUGUAAAAGCUCCGGGAAUAAGGGCUGGGCAAGGCCGGUGGCAGCCGCCACGGUAAUACCGGCGGCCCGAGUGGUGGCCGCUAUUAUUGGGCCUAAAGCGUCCGUAGCCGGGCCCGUAAGUCCCUGGCGAAAUCCCACGGCUCAGCCGUGGGGCUUGCUGGGGAUACUGCGGGCCUUGGGACCGGGAGAGGCGGGGGGUACCCCUGGGGUAGGGGUGAAAUCCUAUAAUCCCAGGGGGACCGCCAGUGGCGAAGGCGCCCCGCUGGAACGGGUCCGACGGUGAGGGACGAAGGCCGGGGGAGCGAACUGGAUUAGAUACCCGGGUAGUCCUGGCUGUAAAGGAUGCGGGCUAGGUGUCGGGCGAGCUUCGAGCUCGCCCGGUGCCGAAGGGAAGCCGUUAAGCCCGCCGCCUGGGGAGUACGGCCGCAAGGCUGAAACUUAAAGGAAUUGGCGGGGAGCACUACAAGGGGUGGAGCGUGCGGUUU